rnacentral:rRNA from 1 species
AAUGAACGUUGGCGGCGUGGAUUAGGCAUGCAAGUCGAAUGAAUCCCAUCUGGGUAACUGGGUGGGGGAAAUGGCGAAAGGGGCAGUAAGGCGUGGGUAACCUACCCCGGGGACGGGCAUAGCCGUCCUAACGGACGGGUAAUUCCCGGCGAUCCAGUUGGGGGGCAUCCUUUGACUGGGAAAUGAGUUUCGCCUCGGGAGGGGCUCACGUAGUAUUAGCUUGUUGGUGAGGUGACGGCUCACCAAGGCGAAGAUGCUUAGCGGGUGUGAGAGCACGACCCCGCGCCACUGGCACUGAGACACUGGCCAGACUCCUACGGGAGGCUGCAGUCGAGGAUCUUCGGGCAAUGGGCGCAAGCCCGACCGAGCGACGCCGCGUGUGCGAAAAA